ACCUUGCUGACGAGUGCCAAAUAGCACGAAACCCGUGUUCAAGGAU
rfam:Schistosoma margrebowiei strain Zambia genome assembly, scaffold: SMRZ_scaffold0000230